rnacentral:tRNA from 1 species
GCACCCGUAGCUCAAUCGGAUAGAGCAUCAGUCUUCGGAACUGAGGGUUGGGGGUUCGAGUCCCUCCGGGUGUA